rnacentral:rRNA from 1 species
ACGGAGGAUGCAAGCGUUAUCCGGAAUUAUUGGGCGUAAAGCGUACGUAGGCUGUUUGAUAAGUCUGUUGUCAAAGCCCGAGGCUCAACCUUGGAUCGGCAAUGGAAACUGUGAGACUAGAGAGAGAUAGGGGCAGGAGGAAUUCCAGGUGUAGCGGUGAAAUGCGUAGAUAUCUGGAAGAACACCAGUGGCGAAAGCGUCCUGCUGGAUCUCAACUGACGCUGAAGUACGAAAGCUAGGGGAGCGAAUGGGAUUAGAUACCCCAGUAGUCCUAGCCGUAAACGAUGGACACUAGGUGUUGGCCGUAUCGACCCGGUCAGUGCCGUAGCUAACGCGUUAAGUGUCCCGCCUGGGGAGUACGGUCGCAAGAUUG